AUUGAACGCUGGCGGCAGGCCUAACACAUGCAAGUCGAGCGGAUGAAGGGAGCUUGCUCCUGGAUUCAGCGGCGGACGGGUGAGUAAUGCCUAGGAAUCUGCCUGGUAGUGGGGGAUAACGUCCGGAAACGGGCGCUAAUACCGCAUACGUCCUGAGGGUGAAAGUGGGGGAUCUUCGGACCUCACGCUAUCAGAUGAGACUAGGUCGGAUUAGCUAGUUGGUGGGGUAAAGGCCUACCAAGGCGACGAUCCGUAACUGGUCUGAGAGGAUGAUCUGUCACACUGGAACUGAGACACGGUCCAGACUCCUACGGGAGGCAGCAGUGGGGAAUAUUGGACAAUGGGCGAAAGCCUGAUCCAGCCAUGCCGCGUGUGUGAAGAAGGUCUUCGGAUUGUAAAGCACUUUAAGUUGGGAGGAAGGGCAGUAAGUUAAUACCUUGCUGUUUUGACGUUACCAACAGAAUAAGCACCGGCUAACUUCGUG
rnacentral:rRNA from 1 species